CUGAUGCGCUGGAAGAAUUGUUUUGGCCUAACGUAAUAUAUUUUUUACCCCAUGCAGUUGUUCAUAAACUCUUCAUACUACCUAGACUUUCUGGUUAUAGAAGAACAAAAAAACAAGGAGGUUUCAGAUAUAACAGAAUUAGUCAAAAAAUGGGUCAGAUCAAAAUAACAAACCACAAGAGUAAUGUCUGCUUUUUGGGACAAAACUAGAUAGAAAAUGUUGUUUGUAU